GUUAUAUACAAAUAGAAAUAUAUCUUCACAAAAUCGUAUUUUUUGAGCCAAAUCAACAAAAGCCCCGAAUGUUCGUGAAGUGGGAGGAGCGGUCUCAGUGCGUCAUAAAUCUGACAUUCUAGUAUCAAUGUGUGUAGUACGAAGUUGUACCAGUUGGAUCUGGAUAUCUGAAUAACUUCAAGGGUCAUAAGAAUAACCACGAGAGCACUGAAGCUUGUUUGUUUUAGUUACCUGAAGGCAAACUAUAUUUGUGCCGAUAGACAACAACGCAGAACACAAAGCUUCAAGAACUAGCCAACAAAAGCCUUUGAAGAUGAAGUCACUCCUUAUACUCUUGCUGUCAUUGGUUGCUGUGUCACUUGGAUACAGGGGUAGUUGCUAUGCACCGCCAUUUAACGUGUAUGGCAAACCCUGCUAUUCUAGUGUAUCCAUCUUUGGAAGCUCCAGCACAAGAGUAAAAUAUUCCAUAUCAGUAAAUGGUGAUACUAUGAUAUGCUGUCAGGUUCUUGCCUGUGGUACUGGUCGUACUUGUUCGAAAUUUGGCUGGCAUUACCUUGGCUGUACUACCGGUUCUACGUCACAGAGCUUCCCGUGGGGUAACAAUGUUGGUGCUCCAGCUAUAAAAUGUAAAGGGAACCCAUUUGGUGCGACGGUCUCCUGGUCCCAUUAGUCGUCAUCUCGGACAAGUGAACCAAGCAGAAUUGAAAAUAAAUCUGAAUAAAAUGGAUUAAACAGUCAUUGCAAGUUUAUUAAAUCACUUGAAAUCA